rnacentral:tRNA from 1 species
CAAAUUAAAGCUUUAAAAGUAUUUUAUUUACACUAAAAAGUUUAUUAUUAGAUUAAUAUAAUUUGA